GGAGCACAGGACACAGAGCUCAGCCUGCAUUUCUUGCUAGGGGGUGAUGCUGGUGGCUGUUGGGCUGCCCUUCCUCAGGGGAAGAGGCAACCACCUCUUUGUUUCCUUUCCAAGGAGCAGUUUGAGCAUCAAAACGUGAGAAUUUCAAGUUCUAACUUUGUCUUUUGUCCAAAUUCUCUGUACAGUUUUCUUUACAGACCCACCACAUCUUCCAACAACAGCUUUUGUUGGUAGGGAGACACCUUCUAUUUCCCAGGACUGACAUCUCCAAGCUCUUGAGGAGCAAUCUGUUCCACAAACACAGCCAUGGGAUCCUCUGGCACGAGGCCCAUGUCCUUCCUGUGCUGGGACACCAGAGGUGGAUGCAGCUCCAUCCUGACUGGAGAACUCUUCCCUCGGGAUCAGAGGAGGGCACACAGACCCCAAACAAUGGAGAAAACCAGACUGACCCAAAGCACGUGUGAGCAGGUGAAAAUAAAGUUAUCCUCUACUUUA